GAUGAACGCUGGCGGCGUGCCUAAUACAUGCAAGUCGAGCGAACAGACGAGGAGCUUGCUCCUCUGACGUUAGCGGCGGACGGGUGAGUAACACGUGGAUAACCUACCUAUAAGACUGGGAUAACUUCGGGAAACCGGAGCUAAUACCGGAUAAUAUAUUGAACCGCAUGGUUCAAUAGUGAAAGACGGUUUUGCUGUCACUAAUAGAUGGAUCCGCGCCGCAUUAGCUAGUUGGUAAGGUAACGGCUUACCAAGGCAACGAUGCGUAGCCGACCUGAGAGGAUGAUCGGCCACACUGGAACUGAGACACGGUCCAGACUCCUACGGGAGGCAGCAGUAGGGAAUCUUCCGCAAUGGGCGAAAGCCUGACGGAGCAACGCCGCGUGAGUGAUGAAGGUCUUCGGAUCGUAAAACUCUGUUAUUAGGGAAGAACAAAUGUGUAAGUAACUAUGCACGUCUUGACGGUACCUAAUCAGAAAGCCACGGCUAACUACGUG
rnacentral:rRNA from 1 species